rnacentral:rRNA from 1 species
GAGGGAUCAUUACAAGUGACCCCGGUCUAACCACCGGGAUGUUCAUAACCCUUUGUUGUCCGACUCUGUUGCCUCCGGGGCGACCCUGCCUUCGGGCGGGGGCUCCGGGUGGACACUUCAAACUCUUGCGUAACUUUGCAGUCUGAGUAAACUUAAUUAAUAAAUUAAAACUUUUAACAACGGAUCUCUUGGUUCUGGCAUCGAUGAAGAACGCAGCGAAAUGCGAUAAGUAAUGUGAAUUGCAGAAUUCAGUGAAUCAUCGAAUCUUUGAACGCACAUUGCGCCCCCUGGUAUUCCGGGGGGCAUGCCUGUUCGAGCGUCAUUUCACCACUCAAGCCUCGCUUGGUAUUGGGCAACGCGGUCCGCCGCGUGCCUCAAAUCGACCGGCUGGGUCUUCUGUCCCCUAAGCGUUGUGGAAACUAUUCGCUAAAGGGUGUUCGGGAGGCUACGCCGUAAAACAACCCCAUUUCUAAAGUUGACCUCGGAUCAGGUAGGGAUACCCGCUGAACUUAAGCAUAUCAAUAAG